AGGGGUUUAGGUUAAAUCUAGACCAAGAGCCUUCAAAGCCCUAAGCAAGUUGAACUACUUAACCCCUG
rnacentral:tRNA from 1 species